GAUGAACGCUGGCGGCGUGCCUAAUACAUGCAAGUCGAGCGAACGGACGAGAAGCUUGCUUCUCUGAUGUUAGCGGCGGACGGGUGAGUAACACGUGGAUAACCUACCUAUAAGACUGGGAUAACUUCGGGAAACCGGAGCUAAUACCGGAUAAUAUUUUGAACCGCAUGGUUCAAAAGUGAAAGACGGUCUUGCUGUCACUUAUAGAUGGAUCCGCGCUGCAUUAUCUAGUUGGUAAGGUAACGGCUUACCAAGGCAACGAGGCAUAGACGACCUGAGAGGGUGAUAGGCCACACUGGAACUGAGACACGGUCCAUACUCCUACGAGAGGCAGCAGUAGGGAAUCUUCCGCAAUGGGCGAAAGCAUGACGGAGCAACGCCGAGUGAGUGAUGAAGGUCUUCGGAUCGUAAAACUCUGUUAUUAGGGAAGAACAUAUGUGUAAGUAACUGUGCACAUCUUGACGGUAACUAAUCAGAAAGCCACGGCUAACUACGCG
rnacentral:rRNA from 1 species